GCCACGGUGGCUUAGCGGUUAGAACGCUGGCCUUGUAAUCCUGGGGUCUCGGGUUCGAUUCCCGGCGGUGCCC
rnacentral:tRNA from 1 species